UCCAGACUCCUACGGGAGGCAGCAGUGAGGAAUAUUGGUCAAUGGGCUAAGGCCUGAACCAGCCAAGUCGCGUGAGGGAAGACGGUCCUAUGGAUUGUAAACCUCUUUUGUCGGGGAGCAACGAGGCCACGUGUGGCCGAAGUGAGAGUACCCGAAGAAAAAGCAUCGGCUAACUCCGUGCCAGCAGCCGCGGUAAUACGGAGGAUGCGAGCGUUAUCCGGAUUUAUUGGGUUUAAAGGGUGCGCAGGCGGAGGUGCAAGUCAGCGGUCAAAUUGCGGGGCUCAACCCCGUACUGCCGUUGAAACUGGCAGUCUCGAGUUGGAGAGAAGUAUGCGGAAUGCGCGGUGUAGCGGUGAAAUGCAUAGAUAUCGCGCAGAACUCCGAUUGCGAAGGCAGCAUGCCGGCUCCACACUGACGCUGAGGCACGAAAGCGUGGGUAUCGAACAGGAUUAGAUACCCCAGUAUG
rnacentral:rRNA from 1 species